AGAAACCAGACACAGACAGAGAGAGCACCCAGAAGAAAUCAGAGCACAGCCAAACUUCUAAUCAGGUAAAAUAUGUUUGAAAUUAUGUUUUAAUGAUAAAGAGGGGGAAGGACUGGGUGUGAAAAAAUAUAGGCAAGGUAGAAUUUUAAAUUAAUAAAGUUAAAAGGAAUAAGAGAAGACAGAUAAAAAAAAAAAAAAAAAAACCAAAGAGCUUUUGGACUCAUAUAUAAUGCCAUUUUAAAUGACUUAAAGGUAGAAACAAAAAAAGAAAGAGAUACCUGACCUAAUGAAAUUGACACGUUGCAACUGUGGUUAUUGUUAUGCUAGUACUUCUUAUCCUAAUCUUAAUAAUCACAAUGGUAUUAUUGGUAAGAUGCAAAAGGAAGGUCCAGCCUUCUGGAGUAUGCAGAAGGUUUGACAAAGGCUGUCGUGGGGCUAAAUGAAUGUGAUCAUCCAGAGAUAAAUAAGGUCCAACAGAAAACAACAUGAACUAUUCAUUCCCUGCCAGCCAAGAAAAAAAACUGCCCGGAGAGCAACUGGAAAAAGUAAAGCAUAGAGAACAGACAGUGUAGCUCGAAACUGACUCAUUGUUUAAAGACAGAGCAACUCCAGUAGACAGAACAGAAGAUGCUACGGACACCAAACGUUUGGAUAGCUUUGGCCCCCACAGACCAGUGUUCCAAUGCUUGAGAAGAAAAGCUAUGGAUUCCUUCAAAAUGAAUGAAAAUCAGAUUUGAUCAGGGGAGACCCCCUGAAGAUCCUGACUGCAGACAUGAAAGAAAUCAAGAAUACCAACAAAACAGGCAGGUCAGCUCCAGGCAGCACCCCCAUUCUACUUCAUAGAAGAUGAUGAGCAUCGAGAACCUCUGUACGGAGUUUGCUUCAAAUGUGGCAAACAAGCCACUGGGCAAGAAACUGCCCUUGCUUCAGCCGCUGACAGUAUGCUGUCCAAACUGGACCAACAGGAUGCAGGCAAGUCAACUGCUGAGCUUCUCAG
rnacentral:lncRNA from 1 species